AAGUGAACUCCAAAAGUGUGCAUGCGUAUGCAGGUUGUUUUCAGCAGGGAUGUUUGUAUGCACUAAUCAAUUCCUAUACUCACUUAGCAUUCGGCAUUCCUUGCGGUUUCUGCAUAACUUGCGGCUUUCGAACCAAACUGAGGGAGCAGUACAUGUUGGAGAAAAAACCUUGCAACGAUUGCUGCGUUCAUUUCUUCUGCCACUCCUGUGCCUUGUGCCAAGAAUACCGUGAGCUCGAGAACCGUGGUUUCAAUGUUACCAUUGGCUGGGAACAAAAUGCGUCAAAGAAUCCUGGAGUGGUGACAGCACCAGCUGUGCAGGGUGGCAUGAAUCGUCAGACUGAUUACAAAUAAGUAAUGGUGUUGGCUUGAUGCUUCAUACCAUAUAUGGAAUAAAAGAAUUCGCUUUCGAUUUUUGUUUGCCGUCUCUUGAAUAAACUUCUUUUGGCUUUGGAGAGUCGUCUUAGUCUGUUGAGUUUGGGUGUGAAUAAUUUAAAAGACUGUGUUCAUUGCUAGUUUGUGGGCUUGUCUUGCCAUGGUAUUCAAUCGAGUUGACCUUUUAUGUUUUGUUGAAGUCUCUGUAGAUUGUGGAUUCUCUUUUAUCAAAUAUUAUUUUUAAUGUUUGUAUCAGUUCUUAAUAUUAUAAUAAAAUCACUAUUAUUUCGGUUUUUUUUUUU